rnacentral:rRNA from 1 species
AAAAAAACCCCUUAUACUGUCUUUGUGAAUGUAAUGCCCCUCGUGGGCGAAAAUAAAUACAACUUUCAACAACGGAUCUCUUGGCUCUCGCAUCGAUGAAGAACGCAGCGAAAUGCGAUAAGUAAUGUGAAUUGCAGAAUUCAGUGA